rnacentral:rRNA from 1 species
UAGUCCACGCCGUAAACGAUGAUAACUCGAUGUUGGCAAUACACCGUCAGCGUCCAAGCGAAAGCGUUAAGUUAUCCACCUGGGGAGUACGAUCGCAAGGUUGAAACUCAAAGGAAUUGACGGGGGGCCCGCACAAGCGGAGGAGCAUGUGGUUUAAUUCGAUGAUACGCGAGGAACCUUACCUGGGCUCAAACGUAGAGUGACCGGCUGCGAAAGCAGUCUUCCCUUCGGGGCAGUCUACGAGGUGCUGCAUGGUUGUCGUCAGCUCGUGCCGUGAGGUGUCGGGUUAAGUCCCAUAACGAGCGCAACCCCUAUUCUUAGUUGCCAUCAGGUCAUGCUGGGGACUCUAAGAAAACUGCCUACGCAAGUAGUGAGGAAGGUGGGGAUGACGUCAAAUCAGCACGGCCCUUACGUCCAGGGCUACACACGUGCUACAAUGGUCGAUACAGAGGGCAGGCUACCUGGUGACAGGAUGCAAAUCUCGAAAAUCGAUCUCAGUUC